rnacentral:lncRNA from 1 species
GUGAGAAUGAAGAGCCUGUGAAACCUGGACGAGAAAAGACCUUUGUGGUGAGGUCUGUUACAUUUCCCAGAAUGGUUCCCAGCGCUGGAGAUAAUUCCUUUUCGGAGAACCUACAUUUCUCACCUGCUGAUUGCAAUUAGCCACUGCCAGCUGGGGCCUGGUGUGCAGCU